AAUAACUACAGUUUUGCACUGUUUAUGUCUAACAUUUGACCGUUUGUCUUAUUUGAAAUUUUUUUUGUGAUUAGUAUUUUUAUUGUUAUUAGAUGAUAAAACAUUAUUAAUAAUUUAUGUGUGACUAUUUUAAAAAAAAAAUCAUAAAAUUUUUCAAAUAAGACGAACGGUCAAAUGUUGGACACAGAUCCCCACAACUACACUUUCU
rfam:Oryza glumipatula chromosome 9, whole genome shotgun sequence.